AUGUUACUAUUUUGGUCACUAUUUUUGUCACUAUUUUUGUCACUAUUUUUGUCACUAUUUUUGUCACUAUUUUGGUCACUAUUUUGGUCACUAUUUUUGUCACUAUUUUGGUCACUAUUUUUGUCACUAUUUUGGUCACUAUUUUGGUCACUAUUUUUGUCACUAUUUUUGUCACUAUUUUGGUCACUAUUUUGGUCACUAUUUUUAACAGUAACUGACCUGAAAUUAUUGACAGUUUUUUUCGGUUGUUCAUCGGUUAAAGAUUUAGUGUUAAUAUCAGCUAAAACAUCAUUAUAUAUGUUAAAGAGAAAAGUCUCUUUUUUUUUUUUUUCACGAUAUGACGGUCUUACCAAGACAGUCGAUAAAUGUGUAGAUAAAAUGGUACUAUUAAGAUUAUACGAAGAUUUAAUAUAAGCACGUAUUAAUAUUUGUGAAAAAAUUAUAUCAUUAAAUAUAGUAAACUCGUAUAUACCUUUAUAAUGAAACAUAUAACCAAUAGAAGAGCCUAUAAAUAUAUUUAAAGUUACAAUGUAUUUAUUUUCCUUAUUUAAUUUUAAAUUAUAAAUACCAUCUACACAUAAAUAACGUACAUUCGAUGAAAAUUUAUGUACAUUUAUUUUUUCAAUAUGAUACAUUAUUGGUAUAUUAUGUACAUUUUUGUAAAUAUAAAAAAAGAUUAAUCGAACUUUUUGCUC
rnacentral:lncRNA from 1 species